rnacentral:lncRNA from 1 species
AACUAGCGUGUAUUUUUCGGUUGAAGAAAAUUAACGUGUGUUUGGUUCUCCUCUUUGGACUGUGAAGAAAUCUCUAUAAUUAGGGAUUCUUCUAGCCCUAGAUUGAUUAGUUUUCUAUUCAUACUUGCCCACCCAAGUAUUGAGAGAGUUCAGAUGUGAACUUGGGAUCACUGUAGAAGACCAUAGCUAUCUUGUAGAUUCACUUGAAGGUCUGUCUAACUUGGGGAUUCGCUUGAAGGUAUUUGUUCACGCUUCAAGAGGUAUUUAUCGAAUUAAAUUUCAGUAUGUUUAUGUGUUCUAGCAUGAUU